UUGUCCGGAAUCAUUGGGCGUAAAGAGCGUGUAGGCGGUCCGGUCAGUCGGUUGUGAAAGUCAAGGGCUCAACCCUGGGAUGCCGGUGGAUACUGUCGAGCUCGAGUCCGGAAGAGGCGAGUGGAAUUCCUGGUGUAGCGGUGAAAUGCGCAGAUAUCAGGAGGAACACCAAUGGCGAAGGCAGCUCGCUGGGACGUGACUGACGCUGAGACGCGAAAGCGUGGGGAGCAAACAGG
rnacentral:rRNA from 1 species